GCCUUCGUGGUGUAAUGGUCAGCACACUCGGCGCGUAUUCGAGAGGUCCGAGGUUCGAGUCCCGGCGAGGGCA
rfam:Stegodyphus mimosarum contig63233, whole genome shotgun sequence.